CUUGGUCAGGUUGAAGUUCAGGUAACACUGAAUGGAGGACCGAACCGACUUACGUUGAAAAGUGAGCGGAUGAACUGAGGGUAGCGGAGAAAUUCCAAUCGAACCUGGAGAUAGCUGGUUCUCUCCGAAAUAGCUUUAGGGCUAGCCUCAAGUGAUGAUUAUUGGAGGUAGAGCACUGUUUGGACGAGGGGCCCCUCUCGGGUUACCGAAUUCAGACAAACUCCGAAUGCCAAUUAAUUUAACUUGGGAGUCAGAACAUGGGUGAUAAGGUCCGUGUUCGAAAGGGAAACAGCCCAGACCACCAGCUAAGGUCCCAAAAUAUAUGUUAAGUGGAAAAGGAUGUGGCGUUGCCCAGACAACUAGGAUGUUGGCUUAGAAGCAGCCAUCAUUUAAAGAGUGCGUAAUAGCUCACUAGUCGAGUGACACUGCGCCGAAAAUGUACCGGGGCUAAACAUAUUACCGAAGCUGUGGAUUGUCCUUUGGACAAUGGUAGGAGAGCGUUCUAAGGGCGUUGAAGCAUGAUCGUAAGGACAUGUGGAGCGCUUAGAAGUGAGAAUGCCGGUGUGAGUAGCGAAAGACGGGUGAGAAUCCCGUCCACCGAUUGACUAAGGUUUCCAGAGGAAGGCUCGUCCGCUCUGGGUUAGUCGGGUCCUAAGCUGAGGCCGACAGGCGUAGGCGAUGGAUAACAGGUUGAUAUUCCUGUACCACCUAUA
rnacentral:rRNA from 1 species